CAUAGUCACCGGACUUUAACAUCCAAUCGUCUACGUAUUCGUAGAAAAAGUAAAUGUUGUGGAAUUUAACGCUUUAUUGCAUCACAUCCGACUAAAAAAAUGACCAGGGAAACAGAAGGCUGACAGACAUAUUCAUAGAAAAUAUGAAAAAGCCCUGCCUGUUGCCGUGUUGGAACUUGUAUUGACCUGUAUGAGCAUCAUACUGUGCAGAUCACCUAAAGAUGGAGUUGACCAAGUUGCUGACUUUGAAGAGAACUUGAAGAGCAGAAGAUGCAUUCCAUGACUCUUAUGUGAUAUAGAAGACAAAGAAGAGCUCUUGAGAAUGAAAAAAAAACUGCGAGUUUUACAGUCAAUGAACACACCUCACGACACAAGUCCAUCCUGAUUCAGUAAACUGUUCUUCUAAGGAAACACCAUGACUUAGUUAAGAUCAAGUUUUGGUGUCAGAAGACUAAUGUAACUAAAACAUUGCAAAAUUAACCUGCAAGUGUCUUAUGUGAGCCUACUGAAUAAGGAUUCAUUACUGAACAGUUGAAGGAAAAUCAAUAUUAUAAUGAUUUUUAAAAAAAGAUGAUUGUGUUGUUUGGAUAACAUUGUGAUCCAUGUUUGUUGAAUAAACAACUUUGCAAAAAUGAGUUGUUCUGUGUUAAUAUUAUAAAUUUACUAAUUACUGGUAUGUCAACAUAGAUUACAGUAACACUGAACAAACUUCAAUAAAUUUUAAAGUUUCAUGCAGUUUCUGCAGUAGAAAAUGACACCUAUUGAUUUUCUGGUCCAAAGGUCACCAGGUGCAAUACAAUACUCUGUACAAUUGAUGUCUGACCAGUUUCUUCAGAACCCUUUGAUUGAUAGUGAUAUUUCAUACAGGGGUUGGUCACUGGUAGUAUAUGACCCCCAUUGAUUUUCAGGUCAAAAGAUUAAAAAUGGCAGGGGCCUCCGUGGCCGAGUGGUUGGAACAUAGCG